rnacentral:lncRNA from 1 species
UCCUGUUCAGACGUUUUCAAUUAGCUGCUCAUUGAGAAAACCAAGUAAGGGGAGCUAGGCCUUUUCUAAGAGUGAAUUUAUGAUAUGCCUAUUUGGUUGGUUUAAACCUGUUGUACUAUUACAUUUUUUUUUUCAGUUUUGAGCAUGUUGAGUGACUUUAACUGAAACUAUGAAAAUUGUGAAACUUAAGGGUUCCUAUCAUGCAUUGUGCUUGGUGUUUAUGAGUAACUGCCUUUGGUGUGUGGUGUUUGAGUGUUAGUUUGUUGUGUGAUGGUGUAAUAUGGGCACACAAAUUUUAAUGCAAAGGGAAAGAGAUUUUGUUAGAUUGGUGGGUUUAUUUCAAAUAAAUUGGAUAUGACAAUUUUACAGGCGCCUUGUGAAGUGUAAUUGUGAGAGGGUUUUCUUUGGGGUAGUGUAGACGAGGGGAGUGAAGUUCAGUGUAUGGGAAGGGAGGUUUUCUGUUUUACUUAUGUAUGGAAAAGAAGAAAAAUAAAUGGAAGAAGGGUGUGAUGCCUAAUAUUUAAGUGAAGAAAGAAAGGAAAAGGGAGAAGAUGUGGGUGCUGGAAGUGUAUUGAAAGAAUGAGCUUAGAUUGAGAAAUAAAAAGGAAAGAAGAAACGAGUGAUGGACGGAGAGUAGAGGAGAGGAAAUAUUAUAGGGUAUUUUGGGUUGGAUGUUCUGUUUUAAAAAAAAUGGUCAAAUUGGAAAUAGGAGAGGAGGGUCGUGCAUGGUUUAUGGUAGUCUGCAUGUAUAUUUUAUGAAGGAGGAUAAGGAAUGGAAUUAAAUAUAUUAUAUGUGAAAUGUGGGAUGUUGCGUAAGUGUAAUGUUUUUCAUCCUUUCACAGUAGCAACAUAUUCAUUUUGGUGUGAAAUGAUG